UCCAGUCAUGCAGUGUAUUCCUUGACACUGGAGAACAGAGAGUCUGUCGAGUGUAGCACACAACAAAUGCAGCACAGGAGGUGUAGGAGGGCAGGGGGGCGUUCACUGGCCUGUACCAACACUCCAAGAUUCUUAUAUGGGGCAGGGAGGUAGUCUUGGGGGGAGAAAACUUUAAUUCUUAUGCACCUGAAGAUUCUUAUGAUGGGGCAGGGAGGUAGUCUUGGGGGGAGAAAACUUUAAU